ACCAAUGAGCAGCACCCCCUUCACAGGCAGCAGGUUAUAGGCCAGGCCAACGGUUCUGGGCUAUUCGAGCUAACCCAGGUUGUCCUGGUACCGAAGCCUGCUGCUUUCCCGGCGGGGCCUGUGCGGUGUGGACAGAUACCAUGUCUGGAGGAAGGGAGAGUGUGGCUUAACCACAGGCCAGUUCAUUGAAGAUAAGGGAAAGGGUUGGGUCAGAGGAGAGAAGCACUUCCAGGACCCAGAGCUGGGAGCGGGCUCAAAAGGAGCAAGAGAAGGGAUGCCCUCUAAGCCGAGGGGCGCUUGCAGGGUUGAACACGG